UACAGGGGGUGCAAACGUUGCUCGGAAUCAUUGGGCGUAAAAGCGCACGUAGGCGGUUCGUUAUGUCGGAUGUGAAAGCCCUUGGCUUAACCGAGGAAGUGCAUCCGAAAACUGGCGAGCUAGAGUACUAAAGAGGAUCGCGGAAUUCCCGGUGUAGAGGUGAAAAUUCGUAGAUAUCGGGAGGAACACCGGUGGCGAAGGCGGCGAUCUGGGUAGAUACUGACGCUGAGGUGCGAAAAGCGUGGGGGAGCAAACAGGG
rnacentral:rRNA from 1 species